rnacentral:rRNA from 1 species
UACGUAGGAUCCAAGCGUUGUCCGGAUUUACUGGGUGUAAAGGGUGCGCAGGCGGAAUGGUAAGUCAGAGGUGAAAUCUCAUCGCUCAACGGUGAAACUGCCUUUGAUACUAUCAUUCUUGAGUCCGAUAGAGAUCUGUGGAAUUCCGAGUGUAGCAGUGAAAUGUGUAGAUAUUCGGAAGAACACCAGUGGCGAAGGCAGCAGAUUGGGUCGGUACUGACGCUCAGGCACGGAAGCAUGGGGAUCAAACAGG